rnacentral:tRNA from 1 species
GCCCGAGUGGCGGAAUGGCAGACGCGACGGAUUCAAAAUCCGUUGUCCGAAAGGGCGUGUGGGUUCGAGUCCCACCUCGGGCACC